rnacentral:rRNA from 1 species
GAUGAACGCUGGCGGCGUGCCUAAUACAUGCAAGUCGAGCGAACGGACGAGAAGCUUGCUUCUCUGAUGUUAGCGGCGGACGGGUGAGUAACACGUUGAUAACCUACCUAUAAGACUGGGAUAACUUCGGGAAACCGGAGCUAAUACCGGAUAAUAUUUUGAACCGCAUGGUUCAAAAGUGAAAGACGGUCUUGCUGUCACUUAUAGAUGGAUCCGCUCUGCAUUAGCUAGUUGGUAAGGUAACGGCUUACCAAGGCAACGAUGCAUAGCCGACCUGAGAGGGUGAUCGGCCACACUGGAAAUGAGACACGGUCCAGACUCCUACGGGAGGCAGCAGUAGGGAAUCUUCCGCAAUGGGCGAAAGCCUGACGGAGCAACGCCGCGUGAGUGAUGAAGGUCUUCGGAUCGUAAAACUCUGUUAUUAGGGAAGAACAUAUGUGUAAGUAACUGUGCACAUCUUGACGGUACCUAAUCAGAAAGCCACGGCUAACUACGUG